CAGGGCUCUUGGUCUGCUGACUGCCUCCAGGUUAGUGGCCCCUUGGUGCCCAUGCCCCCUGCCACUUCUCAUGCUCUCUCUGCCUUUCUGUCCGUGUGUCUCCCCAGGUAAAGAUGAGCCUUCCAGCUACAUUUGCACAACAUGCAAGCAGCCCUUCAACAGCGCGUGGUUCCUGCUGCAGCACGCGCAGAACACGCAUGGCUUCCGGAUCUACCUGGAGCCCGGGCCGGCCAGCAGCUCGCUCACGCCCCGGCUCACCAUCCCGCCGCCGCUGGGGCCCGAGGCUGUGGCACAGUCCCCACUCAUGAAUUUCCUGGGCGACAGCAGCCCCUUCAACCUGCUGCGCAUGACGGGCCCCAUCUUGCGGGACCACCCUGGCUUUGGUGAGGGCCGCCUGCCCGGUACGCCUCCGCUCUUCAGCCCGCCGCCACGCCACCACCUGGACCCGCACCGCCUCAGUGCCGAGGAGAUGGGGCUCGUCGCCCAGCACCCCAGUGCCUUUGACCGAGUCAUGCGCCUGAACCCCAUGGCCAUCGACUCACCUGCCAUGGACUUCUCGCGGCGGCUUCGCGAGCUGGCAGGCAACAGUUCCACGCCGCCACCCGUGUCGCCAGGCCGCGGCAACCCUAUGCACCGGCUCCUGAACCCUUUCCAGCCCAGCCCCAAGUCCCCUUUCCUGAGCACGCCGCCGCUGCCCGCCAUGCCCCCUGGCAGCACCCCACCGCCACAGCCCCCGGCCAAGAGCAAGUCGUGCGAAUUCUGCGGCAAGACCUUCAAGUUCCAGAGCAAUCUCAUCGUGCACCGGCGCAGCCACACGGGCGAGAAGCCCUACAAGUGUCAGCUGUGCGACCACGCGUGCUCGCAGGCGAGCAAGCUCAAGCGCCACAUGAAGACGCACAUGCACAAGGCCGGCUCGCUGGCUGGUCGCUCCGACGACGGACUCUCGGCCGCCAGCUCCCCGGAGCCUGGCACCAGCGAGCUGGCUGGCGAGGGCCUCAAGGCGUCCGACGGCGACUUCCGCCACCACGAGAGCGACCCGUCACUGGGCCACGAGCCCGAGGAGGAGGACGAGGAAGAGGAGGAGGAAGAGGAGGAGCUGCUGCUGGAGAACGAGAGCCGACCCGAGUCGAGCUUCAGCAUGGACUCGGAGCUGAGCCGUAACCGCGAGAACGGUGGCGGUGUGGCCGGGGUGCCGGGCGCGGGGGGCGGCGUGGGCGGCGCGGCCAAGGCUCUGGCCGACGAGAAGGCGCUGGUGCUGGGCAAGGUCAUGGAGAACGUGGGCCUGGGCGCGCUGCCCCAGUACAGCGAGCUGCUGGCCGACAAGCAGAAGCGUGGCGCCUUCCUGAAGCGUACGGCCGCUGGUGACACGGGCGACGAAGACGACGCGGGAGGCUGCGGCGAUGCGGGUGCGGG
rnacentral:lncRNA from 1 species